CAUCGCGGACAGCGCGGCUGUGCGGGCGGAGAGCUGUCGCUACCACUUUCUCUGGAAGUUCAUUCCACACAGGCUCGUGUGUUAAAGUGACAGGCAGCUGGAAGCUCGGGGUCUGUUUUUGCAGCAGAACGUAGAUCAUCAGUCGCCAUUUCCGCCACCACCACUGAGAUGCUGCCAGACACAGGUUCCUGUCCUCUCCAUUAACAGCUGUGCACCCUCCCAGCCAGGAUGAGGCUGUCACUGGCUCGGCCAGCAUUUAUUGCUGCGUUUACCCAGAGGGCAGUUAAGAAUCAACCACGUUGCU